GUUGGCCUUACACACUGAAAAAUUUCUUUCACCUUUAACUUCAUUCUUCCUUAUUAUAUAUAUGUAUAUAUUUAGAGGUUGUAGAAAACAAUUCUUUAUCUUCUCUCACAAAGAAUAUUCCUAAAUAUUUGAAAAAUGUUAUCAAAUACUUCUUAGUCUUCUCUCUCUUGGAUUAAGCAAACUCACGUCUUGCAAAGCCUCAUGCUAGAUCAUCUUUUUUGAAAGAUCACUCUACUUUUCUUGGAACUUUCUCCAGAUUGUUGAUGUAUUCCUUGACGUGCAAUAACCUGCAUUGGUCACAGAGCUCCACGUGAGGAUUUACCAACUCUGAGCAGAUUGGAAGAAAUAUUUUGAGAGGAUAAGCAAUAAACAUUGCAUUUAUUAGCUUCUUGUGAGUAAAUAUUUAUCUAUCACUCCUUGGCUGUAUGCUACUGUUGCAUAUUCAGUGCUCCCUGACGCACCUGUACCAUGUGGUCUGCAAACAGAAGAAAAUUCUUCACCACAUGACAAGACAGACACAACAGUGAGUUCUGGGAAUGCAAAGCAGCUUCAAUGGAGAUACAGAAGGGAGGACCAUGGCCCAUUACCUCUUGGAAUUUCCUGAUUUGAGGGGUUCACUGAGGAACCUAAAUGCUGCAUUUGAGCUUCUACCCGGCAGAGGCUAAGGCAGUGUGGUCAGCAUUGGUGGGGCUGGAAGGGAGCAGAGCUGCAGCUGUGUUGCACAGUGAUGGAACCUGGAGCAGGAUGAUAUGUGCCAAUGCAGUAUUGGUGAGAUUUUGCACAUGGACUGUGCAUGUAGCAUGCGUUCAGUACAUAUAACAUGUACAUACAUGUAUCUUAAGUAUAUGUAACAUGGCUGUAGUGUGUGGGAUAUAUUGCACAGACUGACUGCUUAUGUACAGCUCACUGAUUUUUGUUAUUGAAUCCUCUUCUCAAGAAGUUAAACAUGGUGAACAGUGAACACAAAUGUCUACAAAACUUUUGUUAAAACCUCCAACAUAACAGCAUUUUGAAAGUUACAACUUAUAAACAUGGCAAUUUCAGAGCAGAUCAUCAUUUGGAAUAACAACAUUUCUGACUGCUGUUUUUACACUUUGUGCUCAUGCCAGUCUAUAAUGCUGACACAAUUUUAGGAACAUCAGCAACUAAC
rnacentral:lncRNA from 1 species